rnacentral:rRNA from 1 species
UACGUAGGGUGCGAGCGUUGUCCGGAAUUACUGGGCGUAAAGAGCUCGUAGGUGGUUUGUCGCGUCGUCUGUGAAAUUCCGGGGCUUAACUCCGGGCGUGCAGGCGAUACGGGCAUAACUUGAGUACUGUAGGGGAGACUGGAAUUCCUGGUGUAGCGGUGAAAUGCGCAGAUAUCAGGAGGAACACCGGUGGCGAAGGCGGGUCUCUGGGCAGUAACUGACGCUGAGGAGCGAAAGCAUGGGUAGCGAACAGGAUUAGAUACCCCCUGUAGU